rnacentral:rRNA from 1 species
UACGUAGGGGCAAGCGUUGUCCGGAUUUAUUGGGCGUAAAGAGCGUGUAGGCGGCCUGGUAGGUCAGCUGUGAAAACUCGGAGGCUCAACCUCGAGAUGUCGGCGGAAACCAUCUGGCUAGAGUCCGGAAGAGGAGAGUGGAAUUCCUGGUGUAGCGGUGAAAUGCGCAGAUAUCAGGAAGAACACCCGUGGCGAAGGCGGCUCUCUGGGACGGUACUGACGCUGAGACGCGAAAGCGUGGGGAGCGAACAGG